rnacentral:rRNA from 1 species
AUACAACUCUCAGCAACGGAUAUCUUGGCUCUUGCAACGAUGAAGAACGCAGCGAAAUGCGAUACGUAGUGUGAAUUGCAGAAUUCCGCGAAUCAUCGAGUCUUUGAACGCAAGUUGCGCCCGAGGCUUGUCCGAGGGCAUUUCUGCCAGAGCGUCACC